rnacentral:tRNA from 1 species
GGCAUGUUGCCAGAGUGGUUAAUGGGUGAGACUUGAAUCUGACUAUCAUGAUUCAGCCAUCUCAUGACUUCGGUCGCGUAGGUUCAAAUCCUGCACAUGUCG